CAGUAACUGGGACGCAGUCAUUGCUGAAGUAGACAAAACACGAGGCGAAAGGCAGUAUAGGGCCAUUUUUACAGGUGACGUACGUGCUGACAUCAUUUUAGAAUCGGAAUUUAUGGUGUUGGUUCUGCUUGGCAUUUUCAUACUUAAAGCUAUUCCAUAUGAAGAGGAAACUGAUAGAUUGAAAAUCCUGAUAAUUUGUAUAGCGCCCUCUGUUGCCAGAAAUACAUUCCCAGAAGGAUAUUCCAUUAUUAUAUAUGGUGGUCAGCGAUUGUAGACAAAACAAAGUUCAAGAAGUUCAAUAUCUGAUGUUGUUGCUCAGUGCGUCGUCAUCGGAGAGGAGGCCACACCUCUAAACUGGCCGUCAUCCACCAACUAGAUUAGUCGAAGUGUCAACCAAUUAGGUUAAUUUCACACACUUGAGCUGCGAUGACGUCAGAUCGCCCAAAGCUAGCUGCACAGCAUGCAAGCACAUGUUUACUACUACAGUACAUGUUUGCUCAAUUACCGCUCGAGUCAGAUGCAUGCGCACACAACGGUAACCGCAAAAACAGUUUGUAUCAACACACAUGAAAAUUCUCUUGUUCUGUCACUGCAACCUUAUCUAGGCCUAGGCGACCUACGUUUUUGGCUUUUGUGUUUUCUUUCAAGAUUUGAACGUUAUUGUUUAGAUUUAUUUUACGUGUCAAAUGAUCUAUAUUAAGCGUCAUAAGGGCACCGAGGCCAAGGCUGCAAAAGGGCAGGCAAGUAGUGGCUGUUGUUGUGCUUCAUUUUCAGGGCCACCAAGGCCAACUGGGAGGGCACCGUCGGCAACUACGAAAAAAUACCUAACUAAAGAGAUGGAUUAACAUAGAAAUUGCAAUGGAAACUUCCAUGCUUUACAAGACCUAACACACUAUUUGCUUUAGAGAUAAUUAUAUAAUCAAAAAGUACGGGUGUUUGUGAUCUGGUAAAAGAAAUAAUAUUUCAUUUAGAAGUAAUAAAGUUUAAAUCCCAUUUCUUAGACCAGGCACUCAAAAUAUCAACAUCUGUCGGAAGUUAGUGACAGUUUUGUAUAUUAUGAAUUUCUCUGUAACAUUUGGCCCCAUCAUCAUAAAGAGCAAUACAUAUUAGUGUUACAGCUUAGAUUAUCAGGCAUUAAUAUUGAGGAUAUCAGUCAUUGAAAAUUGAGGGGUUUCUUAUGGGAACUUGGAAAAUUCAAGUGGUGCUUUUUGAAUGAAAAAAGAUUAUAUAAGGACAACCGAAGAUUACAAAUGGUUCUGGUGCAGAAAAGAUAAUCGUCCAGAAAGCAUGGCUCAUGACUAGAAUGUUGUGAGUUUCAACAAUAGAUGAAAUUAGUGGUGGUGGUUCAAACUUGUUUGGCCAUCUGCCGAUUGAGAUUAGCAGGAUUCAUUGCAGAGCUUUUUGUAAACUUGGAUGAGAACGUGCUAAAGGUGCAAAAUGUCGGGAAAAGAAAAAGAGAAGUAGGACUAGACAAAUAUAAGAAAAGGAAUGUUGGAAAGAUACUGUCCAGGGAGUUCUCAUCAGUCUUGGAGAAAAUAUCCUGAUUUUGAAAUUGACAUAAGAAAAUGUGAAUCCACCGAAGAUCAAAUCAUGCUAAACACACACAGUACCAGAAUUGAUUAAAAAGCCACAAGAUAUUGUUUUAAAAAAUGAAUGAAACGGGGAGCUUAAG
rnacentral:lncRNA from 1 species